rnacentral:rRNA from 1 species
CCUAGGGGGGGCAGCAGUGGGGAAUCAUGGUCAAUGGGCGAAAGCCUGAACCUGCGACGCCGCGUGAGUGAUGAAGGUCGUAAGAUCGUAAAACUCUUUUCAGGGAUCUUAAAGCCUGUCUGUCAACAACAGGCAGGUCUGACUCUCCCUGGAAGAAGCCCCAGCCAACUACGUGCCAGCAGCUGCGGUAAUACGUAAGGGGCGAGCGUUAUUCGGAAUUACUGGGUGUAAAGGGUAUGUAGGCGGCCCUUCAAGUCGGGUGUCAAAGUCCAGUGCUCAACGCUGGGUGUGCGCGCGAUACUGACGGGCUUGAGGGCUGGAGAGGUGAGCGGAAUUCCCGGUGUAGUGGUAAAAUACGUAGAGAUCGGGAGGAACACCAGCGGCGCAGGCGGCUCACUAGACAGUUUCUGACGCUAAGAUACGAAAGCGUGGGGAGCAAACA